rnacentral:rRNA from 1 species
CCUACGUGAGGCAGCAGUGAGGAAUAUUGGUCAAUGGGCGCGAGCCUGAACCAGCCAAGUAGCGUGAAGGAUGACUGCCCUACGGGUUGUAAACUUCUUUUAUAAAGGAAUAAAGUGAGGCACGUGUGUCUUUUUGUAUGUACUUUAUGAAUAAGGAUCGGCUAACUCCGUGCCAGCAGCCGCGGUAAUACGGAGGAUCCGAGCGUUAUCCGGAUUUAUUGGGUUUAAGGGGAGCGUAGAUGGGUUGUUAAGUCAGUUGUGAAAGUUUGCGGCUCAACCGUAAAAUUGCAAUUGAUACUGGCAGUCUUGAGUACAGUUGAGGUAGGCGGAAUUCGUGGUGUAGCGGUGAAAUGCUUAGAUAUCACGAAGAACUCCGAUUGCGAAGGCAGCUUACUAAACUGCCACUGACAUUGAUGCUCGAAAGUGUGGGUAUCAAACAGGAUUAGAUACCCUGGUAGUC